UGCCCUUUGCCAGUACGUUUUCAAUGUUUUGGAGAUCAGUAGGCCGUCACGUCACCACCAUCAUUCAAGGUCUUGGAACUGAGCCAGAGAACAAGAGACCAAUAUGGCAGCCGGUGCAGAAGACGACCCCGACAGCCUCGUGACUCUAGCGACAGUAUGCUGCCUGAGGAACCUCAGAAAGACCAUUUGCAGUCAGAGAGUGACUAAAAAGCUCUGCCUGAACAUUGGCCUCUUUCUUCCCAGUCAUAUCUGUGACAAAUUCGUCAACAUGUACAUGGAGUUGGUCCAUACAGACGCUAGCUUUGAAAUGGAUGAAAGCUUCCUCCAACUAUUCUCAGAACCUCGUCGCACCAGUCUUACCAGGCUGCGACUGAAAGUGGACUUUGGCUUCGACAAACACUUACAAGCUAUGAGAAAACAGGACCUAGAUGAGCUGGACCUUUCCUACUGCUACACUCUAUCAUCACGAAGCUUGAAAACACUGACCUGCUUCCGUGAGACGCUGGUCUCUCUUUGUCUCUUUGGCUGCGGUCACAUAUUCUCUAGCAAGAGCCGUACAUGUAGGCAGGGAUUAGGGACGGACUUUAACUUUCAGGGUUUUAACCGCCUGCGGUCACUCAGGCUUGAUGGCCUACCAGAUGAAGUGCGUGCUGAGACCCUCCUUAAACCCUUGAAGUCAAUCACCUCAUUAGGUCUGUCCAACGUAGAGUUACUGGAAACAGCUUUUCUAACUCAGUGGAAAGAUAGACUGGAGUCUCUUGUCCUCUACAAUGUGGACCUUUCAGAUGACUGGGAAAAUACUGUGGUGGAACUUGUCAAUCUCAAGCAUCUGGAUGUCUCGCGGGGUUGUCAGAGGACCUUCAAAUUUCAGAUGACCGGAAAAAUCCUGAUGACCAUCGUUCAGCGACUGGUCAAUCUGGUUUCACUGGACAUUUCGGGUCACAUCGCGAUUGAGAACUGCACAGUUCCGCACUCGGAAGAAGCUAUGGGUCCACCGAGUAUUGAGCCGUGCAAGAGCAGCAUCUACCCUUUCCGAGAGCUGAGGAGGCCCCUGCAGUUUUUGGGCUUAUUUGACACCAACCUUUGUGAAGUGACACACAUCCCGGCUUAUAAGGUGACUGGAUCAAAGAACGAAGACCAACUCCUGAAUGCUAUUGAAGCUUACACUGAGUUUCACCCCGUAUUGGCCUACAUUGCCCUCAACAGAAUAUUUCUCAGACUUCAAACCCAGGAAGCAGUUUUCCCGCUGUGCCGGGCGGUCCCGCUUCUUGUAGCAGCAUUGAAGUGCCAUAAAUAUGAUAAGAACAUCCAGGUGAUGGGUAACUCUGCCCUCAAAAUGCUGGUAUGUUCAGCAGACUGGGAAAGAGACUGUCAAAGUGACCUAAGUGUGAGGCUUCGCCAAGAGAUCGUUCGACUUAUUUUAAAUGGAAUGGAGCCGUACCAGGACCCAGAGGUUCAAAAGUGUUGCUUAUCUGUUCUGGUGAGCUGGUGUCCUAACAAGGAUCUGAUGCUUCAGUAUAGUCGCGUCAACCACAUGGUGCUAACACUGCUGGAGUCUGAAUGGAUGGAUCAGGAAAGGCCUCCACAAAGUUGCCAAGAAUGGCAACAGGCUCGCGUAAUACCGGGGAAAGCUGCGCGUUGCUGCGCAGACUUAGCCUCUUUGGCUGACAACCACCAUAAGGAAGCUCUGGGAAAGAUUGGAUUUGUUCAGAGAAUGUUCAACUUCUUACGGAAAUGCAUGCAGCGUGAACCAUGGUGCAUCGCCUUUGAACCAUUUUGGGAAGCUCUGGAGCAUCUUACUAAUGAGAGCCCAUACAUUUGUCAAAUGUUCCUCGAUUGUCAGGGAGUGAGGCUCUUCAUGGACCUUUAUAGAAAGUUUCCAAGUUGGAAGGAGCUGCAUCGCAACAUGAUGGACGUCCUGAUUAAUGUUGUCAUGGUCAAAGCACUACGACCGCAGCAUGUCACGCCACAGUUCAUCAAUUUUCUCAGUAACCUACUAGACAGGGAGGCUCAUGGGAUGAUAACCUCAUUCUUUGCCUGUGGUCUACUUUCCCACAUCAUGUUUGGUGGACCAGAACAUUGGGCCAUGAAAAAGCCAUCAAGAGACACCGUGAUGCACAAGAUGCGGGACGCCAUCCAGAGCUGGAACGUAAGACGUGUCGACAUCAACUACAGCGAGCAGGUACUGUCCCUUGCUCAUUAAAGAAGGAGGAAUUGAACUUCUGAAGAGAGUUGUGGAGUUGGAAAGCUCGCUGCCCGAGACUAAAAGCGUGGCCCUGUAAGACCCAAGUGCAAUACGAGGGAGUGACUUUGACUUAUAGCACCUUUUUGUAAAGACAUGAAUCUACUCUAGCUCUUUUUAUGUUUGUUUAUUGAUUAUAUUAUUAGUAGGGCUGUCAAAUAACUAAAAUGUUUAAUGGAGUUACUUACAGCUUAAAAAUUAAUUCAUCGUAAUUCAUCACAAUCGCAAUUCAAACCAUCUAUAAAAUAUGCCAUAUUUUUAUGUAAAUUCUUGUUGGAAUGGAAAGAUAAGACUGAUAUAUACAUUCAACAUACGGUACAUAAGUACUGUAUUUGUUUAUUAUAACAAUAAAUCAACAAGAUGGCAAUAACAUUAUUAACAUUCUGUUAAAGUGAUCCAUGAAUAAAAAGACUUGUAGUUCUUAAAAGAUAAAUGUUAGUACAAGUUAUAUAAAUUUAUAUUAAAACCCCUCUUAUUUUCGUUUUAUUAAAAUUUUCAAUCAAAAAAUAAACUAGUAGCCCGCCAUUGUUGUCAAUAAUUACACCAUGCUCAUUGUGCUUAAACCCAUAAAUUCAGUUGCACCAAAGCGCCAGCAGAGGGAGACAAAAAACAUAAGUAACAAGUGGACAUGUCACUGUGCUGUCAUUUUAAUCUGUUUGAGCGGGGCAUGUGCGUUAAUUGCGUCAAAUAGUUUAACGUGAAUAAUUUAAAAAAUUAAUUACCGCCCGUUAACGCUAUAAUUUUGACAGCCCAAAUUAUUAGACAUCCAAUAAUAAUCACCUUUAUUCAAAGGCGUAGGUUUGCACAGGGACGGUAGGGACAUAAAACAAGCAAUGAUGCUCAAAUAGUCCCCACCAACUUUUAGGCAACCUUAUUUGCAUUAUAUAAUGUGUUAUUAUGUAUAGAUUGUCUUCCCAUAUGUUGUUAGCAUAGAAUUGGCCAUACAAUUAAUAAGUAAAUUACUUUCAUUAUGUUCAGACUUACGGUGUAUCACAAAAGUGAGCACACCCCUCGCAUUUUUGCAGAUAUUUAGAUCUUUUCAUGGGACAUCACUGACAAAAUGACACUUUGUAAUCUGUGUACAGCUUAUAUAAUAGAGUUCAUUUAUUUUACCCUCAAAAUAUAGCCAUUAAUAUAUAAACCCCUGGCAACAAAAGUGAGUACACCCCUAGAAACUACAUCCCUAAAUGUCCGAAUUGAGUACUGCUUGUCAUUUUCCCUCCAAAAUGUCAUGUGACUCGUCAGUGUUAUUAUGUCCAGGUGUGCAUAAGGAGCAGGUGUGUUCAAAUUUGUAGUGCAGCUCUCACACUCUGUCAUACUGGUCACCGAAAGUUCCAACAAGGCACCACAUGGCAAAAAACUGAGGAUCUUAAAAGACGUAUUGUUGCGCUACAUUAAGAGAGACGAGGCUACAAGAAGAAUGCCAACACCCUGAAACUGAGCAGCAGCACAGUGGCUAAGAUCAUCCAGCGUUAUAAAAGAGCAGGGUCCACUCAGAACAGGCCUCGGGUUGGUCGUCCAAAGAAGCUGAGCGUCACAUCCAAAUGCUUUCUUUGAAAGAUUGUCGCAAGAGUGCCGUCAGCAUUGCUGCAGCAAUUGAAGAGGUGGAGGGUCAGUCUGUUAAUGCUCAGACCGUACGCUGCACUCUACAUCAAAUUGGUGUGCAUGGCUGUCACCCCAGGAGGAAGCCUCUUCUGAAGACAGUACACAAGAAAGCCCGCAAACAGUUUUCGGAAGACAUGUCAACAAAGCACAUGGAUUACUGGAACCAUGUGCUAUGGUCUGAUGAGAUGAACAUUGUUUGGUUCCGAUGGUCUGAAGCAUGUGUGGCGGCGACCAGUUGAGGAGUCCAAAUAUAAGUGUAUCAUGGCGGUGGGCAUGUCAUGGUUUGGGGCUGCAUGGGUGCUGCAGGUGCUGGAGAAUUACGUGUAUACGUUUAUUUGACGUACAUUGUCGAAGUACGAUACUACUCUGUUAGCGAACGAGGCUAGCGGCCGCCUGGCCUAAACAGCUUUUCUGGCGAAAAUUCUUGUGAAUAAAUGCUUAAAUCCUCGAAUUCUUCGAAGAUGUGGACGUCAAACAGUCUCGAUUCUUGGUUAAAAGCAAAGAAACUGUGCAGUUAGCAUUUACUUUCUGUAUAUUGUGGAAGUAUAAUGCUACUCUGUUAGUGAAAGAGGCUAACGGCCACCCGGCAUAAACAAAGCUUUUGAAACAAUGCUUAAAUCCCCAAAUUCUUCAUAGAUAUGAACGUUAAACAGUCUCGAUUCUUGUUUCAAAGCAAAAAAAAACGUGCCAUUAGCCUUUGUUUUACAUAAAUAUGUCAAAGGACAAUGCUACUCUGUUAGCGAAUGAGGCUAGCGGCUGUCUGGCAUAAACAGAGCUUUUCUGGCAAAAGUUCUUGUGAAUAAAUGCUUAAAUCCCCGAAUUUUUCAAAGAUGUGGACGUAAAAUAGUCUCGAUUCUUGGUUAAAAGCAAAGAAACCGUGCAGUUAGCGUUUUAUUUAACGUAUAUUGUUGAAGUACAACGCUACUCUGUUAGCGAAAGAGGCUAGCGGCCACCUGGCGUAAACAAAGCUUUUGAAACAAUGCUUAAAUCCCCCAAUUCUUCAUAGAUAUGAACGUUAAACAGUCUCGAUUCUUGGUUAAAAGCAAAAAAAAAAAAAAAAACGUGCAGCUAGCUUUUAUUUUACAUAAAUAUGUCAAAGGACAAUGCUACUCUGUUAGCGAACGAGGCUAGCGGCCGGCUGGCAUAAACAGAGCUUCUCUGGCGAAAAUUCUUGUGAAUAAAUGCUUAAAUCCCCGAAUUCUUCCUAGAUAUGGACGUAAAACAGUCUCUAUUCUUGGUUAAAAGCAAAGAAACCGUGCAGUUAGUGUUUUAUUUUAUGUAUAUUGUUGAAGUACAACGCUACUCUGUUAGCGAAAGAGGCUAGCGGCCACCUGGCGUAAACAAAGCUUUUGAAACAAUGCUUAAAUCCCCCAAUUCCUCAUAGAUAUGAACGUUAAACAGUCUCGAUUCUUGGUUAAAAGCAAAAAAAACGUGCAGUUAGCCUGUAUUUUACAUAUGUCGAAGGACAAUGCUACUCCGUUGCGAAUAAGGCUAGCGACCGCCAGAUGUAAACUGAACUCUAUUAUAUAAGCUGUAAACAGACUACUUCUCAUUGUGUCAGUGUCAUUUUGUCUGUGUUGUCCCAUGAAAAAAUAUACUUAAAUAUCUGCAGAAAUGCGAGGGGUGUACACACUUUUGUAAUACACUGUAUUUUGGUCCAAGGCCAUGAAGUGUUUUGUAGACGAGCAGUUGCGCGAGAACCCUAAUUCACACACACUUAUCCAGAGGACAUCUUAUCUCAUUUCAACACUGUGAGAAGUGUCUCGCUCGGUGCAAUUUUGAUCACUCAGUCAUUCAUUAAAGUAGUAGAACAAUACACAUUAAAGCCAACUCGUCAAGUAGCGGUAGUUAGCAAGCCACAAAAACGGACGACUACGUUGACGUUAUCUUGUCCUGAACGACCCACGGAAGAGAUGCUUUUAAUCUGGGUUAUUUCCCCGUCUGAAUGCUACAAUAAUCAAAGAAAGGUAGAUGAUAAUGUCAACAACAGCUUCUUUAGACAAAACCAAACUGAAUAUACACUGUAGUAUUUUAUUUGAAUUGCACCAUCCCACAGACAUGAAAUCUUUCUUUCAGGGUAGCAAUUGAGCAGUGUGAAAGCUUCUGAAGAACGGAAAUGAAUCACGCACAGGAGGACUGAGGUUUUACUGUACUCAGACAACGCAUGUGGGUGGCGAUUGCUUUAGAAAGAAAAUCAGGACUGCGGAAGUGUAGUUCCUGUGAUCUACUCGCUCGUCUGUCGUACAGGAAAUGGCGGGGUGGAGUCACGCUGGAGACCUUCAUUUAUUUGUAUUUUUCUCAAUAAAAUAAUAAUGCCUGCCUGACAAAAACACUAUUGUGAAAUGAAGCAUGCAUUUGGUGUCAAUGUGCCAAGUAAAUUGACAGAUUCAUAGACUUCAUAACCGAUUUGAUUGGUAGGGGGCCUAUUUUCAAAAACAAAUAUUUUCAAAAUCAAAACAGGCACCUAACAUAGCCAUGUACAGUAUGAGUCUCUAUGAGCAGCGGCAAGUCGUUACCUUAUAAUAUCCUGAUUAUAUUUUACAUAAGUAUAGCACGACUUCAAAUGGCUAUAAAAGUCAGGUUUUACACUAGAUGCACAAAAUCACCAAAUGCAGAGAUAAUCACCUAUAUUUUCAGUAUCAAUAGCAAUAUUUAACAUACGUUUUUGACCAAAAUAGCAUCUUUUUUUAUUUUAUUUACGUUAUUUAAGUUUUAAACAGCUAAUAAAUCACUCAUUUUACAUAAAAAAAAAAAAACGUACUACUUGAGGAAAACAUGCAGAAUCAAUUAUAAAUAAUGUGUAAAUAGAUUAUUAUAGGAUAGAAUACCCCUUUAUAAUCAUUAUACACCAUAUACUGUUAGUGAAUGAGGCUAGCAGCAGCCUAGCGUAAACAGCUUUUCUGGCAAAAAUUCUUGUGGGUAAAUGCUUAAAUCCCCGAAUUCUUCCUAUAUAUGCGCGUAAAACAGUUUCGUUUCUUGGUUGAAAGCAAAGAGACUGCAGUUAGCGUUUAUUUUACAUAUAAUGUCGAAGUACAAUGCUACUCUGUUUGCGAACGAGGCUAGCGGCCGCCUGGUGUAAACAUAGCUUUUCUGGCAAAAGAAACCGUGCAGUUAGUGUUUAUUUGACGUAUAUUGACGAAGUACCAUGCUACUAUGUCAGCGAAUGGGACUAGCAGCCGCCUGGCGUAAAAGGAGCUUUUUUGGCCAAAAUUCUUGUGAAUAAAUGCUUAAAUCCCCAAAUUCUUCAUCAAUAUGGAUGUAAAACAGUCUCGAUUCUUGGUUAAGAGCAAAGAAACCGUGCAGUUAGCGUUUAUUUUACGUAUAUUGUCGAAUUAUAGCCUAAGGCUACUGUAAGCGUGUGAGGCUAGCGGCCGCCUGGCAUAAACAGCUUCUCUGGCGAAAACUCCUGUGAAUAAAUGCUUAAAUCCCCGAAUUCUUCACAGAUCUGGACGUAAAACAGUCUCGAUUCUUGGUUAAAAGCAAAGAAACUGUGCAGUUAGCAUUUACUUUCUGUAUAUUGUGGAAGUAUGACGUUACUAUGUUAGCGACUGAGGCUAGGUGCCACCUGGCGUAAACAGAUUUUCUGGGAAAAUUCUUUUGAAUAAAUGCUUAAAUCCCCGAAUUCUUCACAGAUAUGGAUGUAAAACAGUCUCGAUUCUUGGUUAAAAGCAAAGAAACAGUGCAGUUAGCAUUUCUUUUAUGAAUAUUUUCAAAUUAUAAGGCUACUGUCAGAGAAUGAGGCCAGCGGCCCUCUAGCGUAAACAAAGCUUUCCUGGGAAAAUUCUUGUGAAUAAAUACUUAAAUCCCUGAAUUCUUCAUAGAUAUGGACGUAAAACAGUCUUGAUUCUUGGUUAAAAGCAAAGAAACCGUGCAUUUAGCGUUUAUUUUAUGUAUAUUGUCGAAGUACAAUGCUACUCUGUUCAUGAACGAGGCUAGCGGCCCCCUGGCAUAAACAGCUUCUCUGGCGAAAACUCCUGUGAAUAAAUGCUUAAAUCCCCAAAUUCUUCACAGAUCUGGACCUAAAACAGUCUCGAUUCUUGGUUAAAAGCAAAGAAACUGUGCAGUUAGCAUUUACUUUCUGUAUAUUGUGGAAGUAUAAUGCUACUCUGUUAGCGAAUGAGGCUAACGGCCACCUGGCGUAAACAAAGCUUUUGAAACAAUGCUUAAAUCCCCCAAUUUUUCAUAUAGACAUAAAACAGUUUCGAUUCUUGGUUAAAAGCAAAGAAACCAUGCAGUUAGCGUUUAUUAUACGUAUAAUGUCGAAGUACAAUGCUACUCUGUUAGCAAACGAGCAGUGGCGCCUCCGGAAUUUUUUCAUAGCGGUGGCCAGAUGGGGCCACUUAAAAUCUUGGGGUGGCCAAGACUAAAAGCCAAAAUUUCAGGUUUUCAUUAUAUUAUUGCAGUAAAAACGUCAGAGGAAAACUAUCAGAAAGACUUAUGGACACGGCUACUGAUAUACUUUGGUGUAUUGUGUAAUAUUUGAUGUGCGUAGUCCAUAACUGUCCAGUCAACAUUUUGAGUUCCACAACAAUUCUGUUUUAUUGUUAUAUACAGUAUAUACAGUAUUAGGCAUAAGGUGUACAUUUAACUAGGACUGUCAAACGAUUAAAAUUUUGAAUCGAGUUAAUCACAGCUUAAAAAUUAAUUCAUCGUAAUUAAUCGCAAUUCAGACCAUCUCUAAAAUAUGCCAUAUUUUUCUGUAAAUUAUUGUUGGAAUGGAAAGAUAAGACAUUAUAUAGGAUAUAUACAUUUAACAUACUGUACAUAAGGACUGUAUUUGUUUAUUUUAACAAUAAAUCCACAAGAUGGCAUUGAAAUUAUUAACAUUCUUUCUGUGAAAGGGAUCGAAUAGACAGUCUUGUAAUUCUUAAAGGAUACAUGUGAGUUUGUAUAUUGUGACUAAAUAUUGCCAUCUAGUGUAUGUGUUGAGCUUUCAGUAAAUGAUACUGUAGCGACUUAACUGUUCUGCCCAAAUGCAUGAUGGGAAGUGGUGCAACCAUGACUUCCCCAUGUCGCUUCCCACAAUAUUUAUAGUUGCUGUGAGAGAGAUGACAAAGCUUUUACCAAUUAAAAGCACUGUUUCAAUGAAUGCUUGCAUCUACUCCACUCACUUGACACUGCCUCUUAUC